UCGAGAAGUGUCUUGAAUAUAUACCAUGGAAAAGUUUUAACUGGUUUGGAAGAAUAAUAUUGAUUAUCUUUGUUAUAUUUGGCUUCAUCGUCUCUGGUAUUUCAUUAAAUUUAUAUAAUGAUCUCUCUUUUAAUUGUUAUAAUGAGAAAUUGUCAAAAAACAAUGACAAUUCUCUCAUCAAAACCAUUGAAUCAAGAUGUUUCAGACAAUACAAAGAUGGGCUAAAUUUCAAGUAUGUAAUUUUUCUUGUGGUGUGCUUAAAUAUUGGUAUUGUCUUAAUUUGGAGUAUGGUUUAUGGAUAUUAUGUAAAACGUCGAGUCGAGCAUUAUGGUCAAUCCGAUCCAGCAAACAAUGAUGGGGAAAGUAAACCUCUACAUGUUGGUUAUCAUGGUGAAGACAAUUAUAAAUCUAAAAGCGUUACAUUUCGAUUUUCUACAUUUUACAUUUACAUCGUCCAUUUGGUUGUUCGCCUCAUUAUAUUAUCCGUAUUCGUUGGAUUACUUUUUCAGCCAAGUUUCCUAUCGAUUACUCUUGUUCAUGGCAUCCUAAAUUGAAAGAAACAACCUCAUUAAAUCACACUAUACCCACCUCAUACGACGUCAUAUUACUUGCUUGUCAAAAUCUCAACGCUGAUAAAACCUGGAAGUACAGGUUAUUUACAACAUCAAGAGAAUUUUGUGAAGUUUAUUUGUUACGAAAACGUGAAAGAUUUCAAACAUUUU